CAAAAACAUUGCGGAGCACCCACCAACCUCUGCUAUGUUCUCUGGAAACCUUUCUUUGGAAUUGGUUGAUGAAUCCCCUUGGAGAAUAAAAAGAACCUGCUUUUGUGGCAAUUAUAGAGCAUGACUUUUAUGCGAAGAUGAUAUCACAGUGUUAUUAGUGUAUUUAAUUUUGCUGAAGAAUCUUAUGCAUCUUGGUUUAUUUGAGCUGCUUCCUCAUGGUUAAAUUAUUGUCAGAGCAGUUCCUGCACUUCAAGGUGGAUACUACCACCAUUUAUUUGAAUGGUCUUGGAAUUACGACAUCGGGGCAUGGAAAUGGGAUCCUUGUGCUCAUGGAAUUUGUUGAAUUAGAAUUAGCAAGAUGGAAGAAAAUUCAGAAGCAGCUUUGCUUCAACUACUAUGUAUGACUAACAACAAAUUGCUGAUGUAUACAACCUGCAAUUUUAUGCUACAGCCUAUACCGUAAACUAUUCAGUCUUUUCUCCUUGUUUGAAACUUCGCUUUUUACUAGUUUAUUGUAGAUCAGCUACAUGUUGCAAUUUUUAUUGUAAGAAAUCUGAUAAUUGCUGUAAUUAUAAAGUGCAGAUUCAAAAUCAAUCUACAUCUG